AUUGAACGCUGGCGGCAUGCCUUACACAUGCAAGUCGAACGCCAUCUUCGGAUGGAGUGGCAGACGGGUGAGUAACGCGUGGAAACAUACCUUUUGCUUCGGAAUAUUCCCGGGAAACUGGGAGCAAUACCGAAUACGCCCUGAGGGGGAAAGAUUUAUCGGCAAAAGAUUGGUCCGCGUUAGAUUAGGUAGUUGGUAGGGUAAUGGCCUACCAAGCCUACGAUCUAUAGCUGGUCUGAGAGGAUGAUCAGCCACAUUGGGACUGAGACACGGCCCAAACUCCUACGGGAGGCAGCAGUGGGGAAUAUUGGACAAUGGGCGAAAGCCUGAUCCAGCCAUGCCGCGUGAAUGAUGAAGGCCUUAGGGUUGUAAAAUUCUUUCACCGGGGACGAUAAUGACGGUACCCGGAGAAGAAGCCCCGGCUAACUUCGUGCCAGCAGCCGCGGUAA
rnacentral:rRNA from 1 species